AUGGAAUAUUACCAAGCACCCUCCACUAUUUCGGAUAGUAUUUAUGGUUCUACCUUUUUCUUAGCAACUGGCUUUCAUGGUUUUCAUGUGAUUAUAGGUACUCUUUUCUUGAUCGUAUGUGGUAUUCGCCAAUAUCUUGGUCAUCUGACCAAGAAGCAUCAUGUUGGCUUUGAAGUAGCUGCAUGGUACUAG
rnacentral:rRNA from 1 species